AACAAACGCUGGCGGCGUGCCUAAUACAUGCAAGUCGAACGGGGAAAGCUUUCGGGUGAGUACUAGUGGCGCACGGGUGAGUAACGCGUGGAUAAUCUGCCUUAGAGCGGGGGAUAACUAGUCGAAAGAUUAGCUAAUACCGCAUAAGACCACAAGAACUGCGGUUCAAGAGGUCAAAGGUUUUUCGCUCUAAGAUGAGUCCGCGUAAGAUUAGCUAGCUGGUGAGGUAACGGCUCACCAAGGCAACGAUCUUUAACUGGUCUGAGAGGAUGAUCAGUCACACUGGAACUGAGACACGGUCCAGACUCCUACGGGAGGCAGCAGUAGGGAAUAUUGCACAAUGGAGGAAACUCUGAUGCAGCGACGCCGCGUGAGUGAUGAAGGCCUUCGGGUCGUAAAGCUCUGUCGCAGGGGAAUAACACAAUGAAUGUACCCUGUAAGAAAGGAUCGGCUAACUUCGUGCCAGCAGCCGCGGUAAUAC
rnacentral:rRNA from 1 species